GGGUUGUGAGGUUAAGCGACUAAGCGUACACGGUGGAUGCCCUGGCAGUCAGAGGCGAUGAAGGACGUGCUAAUCUGCGAUAAGCGCCGGUAAGGUGAUAUGAACCGUUAUAACCGGCGAUUUCCGAAUGGGGAAACCCAGUGUGAUUCGUCACACUAUCAUUAACUGAAUCCAUAGGUUAAUGAGGCGAACCGGGGGAACUGAAACAUCUAAGUACCCCGAGGAAAAGAAAUCAACCGAGAUUCCCCCAGUAGCGGCGAGCGAACGGGGAGGAGCCCAGAGCCUGAAUCAGCAUGUGUGUUAGUGGAAGCGUCUGGAAAGGCGCGCGAUACAGGGUGACAGCCCCGUACACAAAAGCGCAUGUGCUGUGAGCUCGAUGAGUAGGGCGGGACACGUGGUAUCCUGUCUGAAUAUGGGGGGACCAUCCUCCAAGGCUAAAUACUCCUGACUGACCGAUAGUGAACCAGUACCGUGAGGGAAAGGCGAAAAGAACCCCGGCGAGGGGAGUGAAAAAGAACCUGAAACCGUGUACGUACAAGCAGUGGGAGCACCCUUCGGGGUGUGACUGCGUACCUUUUGUAUAAUGGGUCAGCGACUUAUAUUCUGUAGCAAGGUUAACCGUAUAGGGGAGCCGGAGGGAAACCGAGUCUUAACCGGGCGUUAAGUUGCAGGGUAUAGACCCGAAACCCGGUGAUCUAGCCAUGGGCAGGUUGAAGGUUGGGUAACACUAACUGGAGGACCGAACCGACUAAUGUUGAAAAAUUAGCGGAUGACCUGUGGCUGGGGGUGAAAGGCCAAUCAAACCGGGAGAUAGCUGGUUCUCCCCGAAAGCUAUUUAGGUAGCGCCUCGUGAAUUCAUCUCCGGGGGUAGAGCACUGUUUCGGCUAGGGGGCCAUCCCGGCUUACCAACCCGAUGCAAACUGCGAAUACCGGAGAAUGUUAUCACGGGAGACACACGGCGGGUGCUAACGUCCGUCGUGAAGAGGGAAACAACCCAGACCGCCAGCUAAGGUCCCAAAGUCAUGGUUAAGUGGGAAACGAUGUGGGAAGGCCCAGACAGCCAGGAUGUUGGCUUAGAAGCAGCCAUCAUUUAAAGAAAGCGUAAUAGCUCACUGGUCGAGUCGGCCUGCGCGGAAGAUGUAACGGGGCUAAACCAUGCACCGAAGCUGCGGCAGCGAACGUAUCACCCAAGACAACUUUACGGAGUUGACGAUUGACGGAGCGAAGCGACGUCAAAGCGUUCAUUAAAGUCGAGUUGGCUUAGGGAUACGUUCGUUGGGUAGGGGAGCGUUCUGUAAGCCUGUGAAGGUGUGUCGUGAGGCAUGCUGGAGGUAUCAGAAGUGCGAAUGCUGACAUAAGUAACGAUAAAGCGGGUGAAAAGCCCGCUCGCCGGAAGACCAAGGGUUCCUGUCCAACGUUAAUCGGGGCAGGGUGAGUCGACCCCUAAGGCGAGGCCGAAAGGCGUAGUCGAUGGGAAACGGGUUAAUAUUCCCGUACUUGGUGUUACUGCGAAGGGGGGACGGAGAAGGCUAUGUUGGCCGGGCGACGGUUGUCCCGGUUUAAGCGUGUAGGUGUGUGUUCCAGGUAAAUCCGGUUCACUUUAACACUGAGGCGUGACGACGAGGCACUACGGUGCUGAAGCAACAAAUGCCCUGCUUCCAGGAAAAGCCUCUAAGCAUCAGGUAACACGAAAUCGUACCCCAAACCGACACAGGUGGUCAGGUAGAGAAUACCAAGGCGCUUGAGAGAACUCGGGUGAAGGAACUAGGCAAAAUGGUGCCGUAACUUCGGGAGAAGGCACGCUGACACGUAGGUGAAGUGAUUUACUCAUGGAGCUGAAGUCAGUCGAAGAUACCAGCUGGCUGCAACUGUUUAUUAAAAACACAGCACUGUGCAAACACGAAAGUGGACGUAUACGGUGUGACGCCUGCCCGGUGCCGGAAGGUUAAUUGAUGGGGUCAGCGUAAGCGAAGCUCCUGAUCGAAGCCCCGGUAAACGGCGGCCGUAACUAUAACGGUCCUAAGGUAGCGAAAUUCCUUGUCGGGUAAGUUCCGACCUGCACGAAUGGCGUAAUGAUGGCCAGGCUGUCUCCACCCGAGACUCAGUGAAAUUGAACUCGCUGUGAAGAUGCAGUGUACCCGCGGCAAGACGGAAAGACCCCGUGAACCUUUACUAUAGCUUGACACUGAACAUUGAGCCUUGAUGUGUAGGAUAGGUGGGAGGCUUUGAAGUGUGGACGCCAGUCUGCAUGGAGCCGACCUUGAAAUACCACCCUUUAAUGUUUGAUGUUCUAACGUGGACCCGUAAUCCGGGUUGCGGACAGUGUCUGGUGGGUAGUUUGACUGGGGCGGUCUCCUCCUAAAGAGUAACGGAGGAGCACGAAGGUUGGCUAAUCCUGGUCGGACAUCAGGAGGUUAGUGCAAUGGCAUAAGCCAGCUUGACUGCGAGCGUGACGGCGCGAGCAGGUGCGAAAGCAGGUCAUAGUGAUCCGGUGGUUCUGAAUGGAAGGGCCAUCGCUCAACGGAUAAAAGGUACUCCGGGGAUAACAGGCUGAUACCGCCCAAGAGUUCAUAUCGACGGCGGUGUUUGGCACCUCGAUGUCGGCUCAUCACAUCCUGGGGCUGAAGUAGGUCCCAAGGGUAUGGCUGUUCGCCAUUUAAAGUGGUACGCGAGCUGGGUUUAGAACGUCGUGAGACAGUUCGGUCCCUAUCUGCCGUGGGCGCUGGAGAACUGAGGGGGGCUGCUCCUAGUACGAGAGGACCGGAGUGGACGCAUCACUGGUGUUCGGGUUGUCAUGCCAAUGGCACUGCCCGGUAGCUAAAUGCGGAAGAGAUAAGUGCUGAAAGCAUCUAAGCACGAAACUUGCCCCGAGAUGAGUUCUCCCUGAGACUUAGAGUCUCCUGAAGGAACGUUGAAGACGACGACGUUGAUAGGCCGGGUGUGUAAGCGCAGCGAUGCGUUGAGCUAACCGGUACUAAUGAACCGUGAGGCUUAACCUUACAACGCCGAAG
rnacentral:rRNA from 2 species